rnacentral:piRNA from 1 species
UAGAAGAUGGAACUAGAGAUGAAGGG